UAGCAGACUGCAAAUACAUUAGAUAAUACAAGGCCUGGCCCCAAAAGCAAGACGUGCUACACUUAGUAAAGCCGAAAAAUAAGGGUGAGAGAAGCCAGUGGAACCUUUAGAUGGUGAUUUGGGGGUGAGUCUUAAUGACCUGACCAGCACAAAAGGAACCUGGCACCAAAAAGAUGUCUUGCAAUCACAACCACCUUUGUAAGUGGGAAGUCCAGAAGCCCAAUUAGCCAACCAGACACUCAUGCAUAAAGUACCUAGCACCAAUUAAUCCCUGACCCUCCAC
rnacentral:lncRNA from 1 species